UUUUACUCUUAAGAUAUUCUUCUCUUGCAGUAUAACUAACUGAAUGGUUUUCACUUUGGCCAUCACUGUUAGUCCGAGAUUCAGUCUCAGACCAAUCAACAUUAGCUACUCCUAGGAAUUUCAAUUUUAUAUCUAUAAAAACAUCCGAUCUACUAAUCUCAAUUAAGACUCGUCCAGUAAUGGUUUGACCUGGUGUAAAUACUGCUGUUGGAUCAUCAAAAAUUAUCUGUAUAUUAUGCACACCCAUUGUUAUUUUAGAAUUGUUGUUGUGUGUGAGCUACUGCAUGUUUCUACAUCUCAUAUGUAGUCAUCGCAUACAUUUUAUACUUAAUUAACAUAUGAAUAAAUAUGUAAAUUAAUUACAGUGUAUUUAAUAAUAAUUAUUAUUAAGCACGAAUAAACUGUACUUAACUGAUUAUCUAUCUCAUACGUUUACGGCUACAUUCAGUACAUUCACGUUUAUUGCCAGACCCAGGUUUAAUUAAAGUAUUAUACCUACUAUUAAAUAUUAAUAUAAAAGAUUCAUCAAGAAAAAGUUUAAUCGUCAUCAUCGUGAAGUCGUUAAAAAUUACCAUUGAUGGGUGGUAGAUGA